rnacentral:rRNA from 1 species
CCUACGGGUGGCAGCAGUGGGGAAUAUUGGGCAAUGGGCGCAAGCCUGACCCAGCAACGCCGCGUGAAGGAAGAAGGAUUUCGGGUUGUAAACCUCUGUUUGGAGGGACGAAGAAAGUGACGGUACCUCAGGAAUAAGCCACGGCUAACUACGGGCCAGCAGCCGCGGUAAUACGUAGGCGGCAAGCGUCAUCCGGAUUUAUUGGGUGUAAAGGGCGUGUAGGCGGGAAAGCAAGUCAGAUGUGAAAUCUCAGGGCUCAACCCUGAGCCUGCAUUUGAAACUGUUUUUCUUGAGUGCUGGGGAGGCAAUCGGAAUUCCGAGUGUAGCGGUGAAAUGCGUAGAUAUACGGAGGAACACCAGUGGCGAAGGCGGAUUGCUGGACAGUAACUGACGCUGAGGCGCGAAAGCGUGGGGAGCAAACAGGAUUAGAUACCCGGGUAGUC